UACGUAGGUGGCAAGCGUUGUCCGGAAUUAUUGGGCGUAAAGCGCGCGCAGGCGGUUCCUUAAGUCUGAUGUGAAAUCCUCGCGGCUCAACCGCGAGCGGCCAUUGGAAACUGGGGAACUUGAGUGCAGGAGAGGGGAGCGGAAUUCCACGUGUAGCGGUGAAAUGGCGUAGAGAUGUGGAGGAACACCAGUGGCGAAGGCGGCUCUCGUGGCCUGUAACUG
rnacentral:rRNA from 1 species